rnacentral:misc_RNA from 1 species
GAUGAAGAACGCAGCGAAAUGCGAUAAGUAGUGUGAAUUGCAGAAUUCAGUGAAUCAUCGAAUCUUUGAACGCACAUUGCGCCCCUUGGUAUCCCGAGGGGCAUGCCUGUUCGAGCGUCAUCUACACCCUCAAGCUCUGCUUGGUGUUGGGCGUCUGUCCCGCCUUUGCGCGUGGACUCGCCCCAAAUUCAUUGGCAGCGGUCCUUGCCUCCUCUCGCGCAGCACAUUUGCGCUUCUCGAGGUGCGCGGGCCGCGUCCACGAAGCAACUAUUACCGUCUUUGACCUCGGAUCAGGUAGGGAUACCCGCUGAACUUAAGCAUAUCAAUAAGCGGAGGA